CAGACCUCUGAUCAGA
rnacentral:rRNA from 2 species